rnacentral:rRNA from 1 species
GAUGAACGCUAGCGGCAGGCUUAAUACAUGCAAGUCGAGGGACAGCACAGGUAGCAAUACUGGGUGGUAACCGGCAAACGGGUGCGGAACACGUACACAACCUUCCUUUAAGUGGGGGAUAGCCCAGAGAAAUUUGGAUUAAUACCCCGUAAUAUAGUUGAAUGGCAUCACUUGAUUAUUAUAGCUACGGCGCUUAAUGAUGGGUGUGCGGCUGAUUAGAUAGUUGGCGGGAUAACGGCCCACCAAGUCUACGAUCAGUAGCUGAUGUGAGUGCAGGAUCAGCAACACGGGCACUGAGACACGGGCCCGAAUCCUACGGGAGGCAGCAGUAAGGAAUAUUGGUCAAUGGACGUAAGUCUGAACCAGCCAUGCCGCGUGAAGGAUUAAGGUCCUCUGGAUUGUAAACUUCUUUUAUUUGGGACGAAAAAGGGCCUUUCUAGGUCAACUGACGGUACUAGAUGAAUAAGCACCGGCUAACUCCGUGCCAGCAGCAGCCGCCGUAA